GACGAACGCUGGCGGCGUGCCUAAUACAUGCAAGUCGAACGAGAGCAACCGGUGCUUGCACUGGUCAAUCUAGUGGCGAACGGGUGAGUAACACGUGGGUAACCUGCCCAUCAGAGGGGGAUAACAUCCGGAAACGGAUGCUAAAACCGCAUAGGUCUUCGAACCGCAUGGUUUGAAGAGGAAAAGAGGCGCAAGCUUCUGCUGAUGGAUGGACCCGCGGUGCAUUAGCUGGUUGGUGAGGUAACGGCUCACCAAGGCCGUGAUGCAUAGCCGACCUGAGAGGGUGAUCGGCCACAUUGGGACUGAGACACGGCCCAAACUCCUACGGGAGGCAGCAGUAGGGAAUCUUCCGCAAUGGACGCAAGUCUGACGGAGCAACGCCGCGUGAGUGAAGAAGGUUUUCGGAUCGUAAAACUCUGUUGUUAGAGAAGAACAAGUGCUAGAGUAACUGUUAGCGACUUGACGGUAUCUAACCAGAAAGCCACGGCUAACUACGUG
rnacentral:rRNA from 1 species